GGGAAGCUGGUGGUGGCAAGAGGAAUCCUGUAAAAUUACUUCUGGAAGAAACUGGGGAAUCAAACUGCAUGAAAAGGCCUGAGCACCUAAUGUAUGUCCCUAAGCAGCUCCACAGGGAUAAUAUGCAUCAUUGAGCAGCAAGCUGGGGAAAAAGGCAGACAAGCUAUGACUUCAGAUUUGGUCGUCCCUCAAAAAACGCGACUGUCCUAAUUUUCAGGCUGGGGUCUCAUUCUCUCAGGUCUACCAACUUCUCUCAUUUUUAUUCUCUUCCCUUCUCUGCUACAAUGGAAGCUGCCCAUUUGGCUCUUUUCACAGCAGAUACAUCUCUGUAGUACAUCUGGACCUGCAACUCUCAUGUGCUAUCUCCUAAUCAGUACAAAAAAUGUGACAAAGAACUCCUGAGUCCUGUGGCAGGUUCAGAUGGAAGGAAGGAGAUGGACGGGGCAAGGAAUACCCAGGACUGGAAUUCCAAGGGACACAAAGGAUAUGUCCUUCUGGGUUAGCAUUCCAGAGGAAGGGGAUAUGCUUUAUGCAGUGGGCACCUGCACCAUUUCUUUGCCUAGGCAGGAGGCUUCAGGUUGAAUCUUGUUAAAUGUUCAAUCACGUGCCAUCCUCCCUGAAUCCCCAGGCAAAAAAAAAAGGGAAAGGGGGAAAGAAAGAUAUAGGAUUAUUUAGACAUGCUAAAUAUCAAGAUGAUCCACCUGCCAUUGCAAUAUCCCAACACCUACUUGAUA